CGUGCGGGACGACCCGCGCCCGUUGCUCCAUCCCGGGACGGCCCGG
rnacentral:ncRNA from 1 species